CCUACGGGAGGCAGCAGUCGAGAAUCUUCGGCAAUGGGCGCAAGCCUGACCGAGCGACGCCGCGUGGAGGACGAAGGCCCUCGGGUUGUAAACUCCUGUCGAGGGGGAGGAAGCUUCGGUUGACCGAACCCUGGAGGAAGCACGGGCUAAGUUCGUGCCAGCAGCCGCGGUAAU
rnacentral:rRNA from 1 species